CCCGCCCCCUCCCCUCUCCGUACCCGACACGCUCCCUCCCGCGCGUCUCCCGGACCCCCUCCCUUUUUGCCCUCGGCUGCGUUCCUUUCCUCCCGCCCUCUCCCCAGCCUCUAGGUCUCUAGCGGGUGCCCUUGGGCGCGCGGAGCGUAGAGGCGCGAUUCCCGGGUCCCCCGGCUCCUGGCUCCGGCCGCCAGAGAGCAGCAAGCGCCCGGGAUCUGCGGACUGCGGACCGGACCGCGCAAUGCCGUGGCGGGUCACCUCCUGGGACUGCCUGGACAGAUCUGCUGCACCUCCUUCCUUCUCUCAGGCCACUGGUCAGCGCAGGGUUUCAAACCCUUCUGCCCAGUGCGAUGGAGAGGAGAGAGCCCGGGAAGGGGUCAGAAGCCUGUGCUGGGCUGAGACUAGGGUGCCUCUCAAAUGAACAAUUUUGCUGAAGUCACAUGUUCCCCAUGGUGGCCAUUGAAGGCCCAAAUGAUUUUUGGUGGAAUUAGGCCAUUUAGAAAGAUUAGGCACAAGAAUUAGGAUUCUAAUGAGUGUAUAUAUAACAAUCAGGAGCUUUUCCUGGAAGAGGAGAUGAUUUAGAUUCAGACGACCCUAUGAAAGCCUUGGGCACCUUGUAUCUUGGGCCCCCAGCCUGGUGGUUGACUGUCUCCAAUGAAGACCUGACAAUUUAUGUUCCCUGCAGACAACCAGAGAGAAGAUUCUCUCUGGACAAAAGAUGGAAGGCAAACCUUACCUAAUUUUAUUGGUGACUCACAGCAAAGUUUGUCUAAAUGGAUUCUGGUCCAGUGAGAAGCACAAACUCACCAGUCUAUGAGUCUGGCUUAAUCAACAGGCCUGUGGGGUCUAUGCCUGUGUUCUGCCUGUGAUUCUCAUUCUGUGACAAACAACAAUUUUGACAGCACAGUACAAAAUGGAAGAACAAAAGAGAGCAAAGGAGAGGAAAAGGAAUGGUCUGAUUCUACCAAGGAUGCAAACAAAUGAGAAUGAAUAACAAAAAUUGGGUAUGAAUCGAAUAACAAAUAGCUGAGAACUCAAUGCAAGGACAGUGGAGUGCAGACCCAGUGCUGACUUAGCACACUGGGAUGGAUUUGGUAAGCCGUGAGUAGCAAGGCACAAGGGACCUCUACAAAUACCACCCCUGGGCAAAGGCUGACGUCUGUGGUGAUGGGCAGUGUAGACGGUAUCUCAGUGGGACCUCCAGAAAAACUGCAGAAAUAAAUGAAAACCACCCAGAUGAGGAGAAAUAGAAGCUAUCUAUUCAGAACUUGCUACAGCAAAGGAGUCAACCACCAUCACCUGUAUUUGGCAGGGACUCAAAGGCAGGCAGGGACUGAGAAACUUUAUACUGGGAGGAAAAAAAAGGGGAAGGCUUCAGGUGUGCUGUGAUUGGAGGCUGUUGGCACAGGGACAGAGAGGGGCUGACUAGUAGAGGCAGAUCCUAUGGGAUUGGUUGGGGAGCAUAUUUGGCUCUCUCUGAUUGGUCCUGAGUUGAAAGCAGGGGCAAAAAAUUGGGAAGCUAGAAGUCAUUGACUAAUUCCUGACCAUGCUGGGCUGAUUACUAUAGGAGUUUGGCUUCUUGGGCUGGUUGCUGCAGAUUGUGGGUCAGAGUUCUGUUGUGAAUGAUCUGGCUACUGUCCAUUUGUAUAUUAAGUCUCUGAAGAGGUAUUGGUGUCUUGCUCCAGAAAGUUCACAGUCUGGGUAAGGUAAUGAGAUGUACGUUCAAAGAAAAGAUUGUUUGUAGGAUCCAUAUGAGACCAGGCUGAGGGGUCAGGCUGUGGGUAGAGUGAGCCUCGGGCUGUACUCAGAUGAGGGGUUGGGCUGUGGGUAGGCAAGUGGCCAGAGUAGGGCAAGGGGGAUGGUGAGGAACUUCUUUCUGAAGGUAGGUGCCAAUGCAGGGCUGACUCAGUGAUGCUGGCCCAGUGAGCCCCAUCUCCAACCACCUCUGAUUUAGGGUCUCUUUCUACUUUCCUAACAUCUCCUUUGGCAGUAAGAGACCUCCCCUAGCUGCACCGGGUCCCCUGGAGGAGGACUUUCAGAUAUAUUCUAAAGUUGGGGAGGAAGGAACAUGGCUUCGAUAAUAGGGGGCCAGGGUGAAAUUACAGCCUGCAGUCUCUCCCUGCUGUGUGAUAAAAGCACUAUCCCACCUGCACAGGAAGGUGCUCUGAGAGUCAUACAUCCUCUGACAAGCCAGAACUGCCCCUGUGCCAUUGUGUUAAGAAUCAAGGUGCUGUGACACCACAGACCUCCCAGGUUGGUGGGGGAGUUAGGAGAUGGUGGGAAUAAUAGGGGCUUUGUUCCUUCGUUGUGCUGUUUAAUGCAUUUCCUUCUCCUUAAAAGGUUGGCUGUAGGAGUAACCACAAUCCAUGAUCCUGUUUAGGGUGAUUGAAUUGGUGGUAACCUCAUUUGCUGUCUUGCCACAGAACCUAAAAGGCCACAUGUAUUGCCCUACUCUUUUGGGUUGAGCAUUGCCUCCCACAUCUUCAUUCAUACCGCACAUAUUUAUUACAGGUGUAAACUAUGAACCAAGUGCAUUGCUGGUCGCUGGGGAUAAAAUGUUGAGUAAGACACAGCCUUGACUUUCGUGGAUCUUAUAGUCUCUUAUAGGAGACAGAUGAUAAGAACAAAAAUGCAUCAAGGAACACACACAGGGCACCCGUGGUAGGAUAAUGCAGGGCUGGGCAACUUAGGUGGGGUGGAGGGGGUGGCUGCCAACUGAGAUUGGGUUUUGAGGAAAUGCCAGGUUCGUGAAGGGCAAACAAGUGCACCUUAGGCAGAAGAAAAGCGUGUGGGAAAAGUCUUGGUGUCCCUGGCACCAAAUGAAGGUUGGUGAGCUUAGAGCACAGAGGCUGAGGACUGAGGGCAUGAGGUGCAGCUGGAGAGGAAGCUGGGGGUCACCUGGAGACACGGAAAUCAUGAACAGGUGCUGAGUUUUAUCAAAUACCUUUUCUGCAUCUAUUGAGGAUUUGACUUGGAAACAAAGCAGAGCCUUUGGAAGUCUCAUGGUACUGAGAAGAUAAAAAUGAAUUUCCAAGCCCUCCAGUACAGAGAGACCUUAGCUGAACAUCCAGACUUUCAGACUCCCAAGGGGCAUCUCGACCUUCUCAACUGCCUGGGCCUGGUGUGGCCCCUUGGUCAGGGCUUCUGCACCUUUCCAUGGCAUCUUCUAGAAAUUGUUGUUUCCGGUGUAAUGCUUGGAACUUCUGGAGUAUCUUGGGACCAUGAGAUGACCCAGAUUGACAAGUUGCCAUGCUGGGGCUGGCAGAACAAAACGAUGGAAGGAACCUGGGUUCCUGAUGAUUGUGUUGAGCUGCUGAAUCAACCAGACCUGGA